GACUAGUUUGCCUGUUAUCCAGUAUAGAAACAAUGACUAGAAUCUACAGACUAGUUGUUGAAUUAGCUCUCUCCUGUGUGUUAGAGAAUAGAAGUGCUCACAUGGCCUACCAGUUCCAGAACACCUUUCAGAGCUUUCGUUUUUUUUCCCCUGUCGGGCUACAUUUAGUCUUCCUGAUUUUAUAUAAAGUUCUGUCCUGUUAGGCCGUCCUGUUAGGCUGUCCUGUUAGUCCUGUUAGGCCGUCCUGUUAGGCCGUCCUGUUAGUCCUGUUAGGCCGUCCUGUUAGUCCGUCCUGUUAGGCCGUCCUGUUAGUCCUGUUAGGCCGUCCUGUUAGUCCUGUUAGGCCGUCCUGUUAGUCCUGUUAGUCCUGUUAGGCCGUCCUGUUAGGCCGUCCUGUUAGUCCGUCCUGUUAGUCCGUCCUGUUAGUCCUGUUAGGCCGUCCUGUUAGGCCGUCCUGUUAGUCCUGUUAGGCUGUCCUGUUAGUCCUGUUAGGCCGUCCUGUUAGUCCUGUUAG
rnacentral:lncRNA from 1 species